UAAUACGAAGGGGGCGAGCGUUGUUCGGAAUUACUGGGCGUGAAGGGCGCGUAGGCGGUCUUUUAAGUUAGGCGUGAAAGCCCCGGGCUCAACCCGGGAACUGCGCUUAAGACUGGAAGACUAGAAAACGGAAGAGGGUAGUGGAAUUCCCAGUGUAGAGGUGAAAUUCGUAGAUAUUGGGAAGAACACCAGUGGCGAAAGCGGCUACCUGGUCCGAUUUUGACGCUGAGGCGCGAAAGCGUGGGGAGCAAACAGGAUUAGAUACCCUGGUAGUCCACGCCGUAAACGAUGUCUGCUAGAUGUCGGGGGGUUGCCCCUCGGUGUCGCCGCUAACGCAUUAAGCAGACCGCCUGGGAAGUACGGUCGCAAGAUUA
rnacentral:rRNA from 1 species